rnacentral:rRNA from 1 species
UACAGAGGUGGCAAGCGUUGUUCGGAAUUACUGGGCGUAAAGGGCGCGUAGGCGGCCUUGUAAGUCUUGUGUGAAAUCCCUCGGCUCAACUGAGGAACUGCACGGGAUACUGCGAGGCUUGAGUUCGGGAGAGGGAAGCGGAAUUCCGGGUGUAGCGGUGAAAUGCGCAGAUAUCAGGAGGAACACCGGUGGCGAAGGCGGUUCUCUGGGCAUUACCUGACGCUGAGGAGCGAAAGUGUGGGGAGCGAACAGG